UUUGAUAUUUCCAAGUAAAAUUUUAUUACUGAAAAAGAUAUUCUAAUCAUAUUUGGUGCAGGUGUAUUUAAUAUCAAACCAUUUUACAAGAAUACAGAAAAAAGAACGAAAGAAAAAGAAAUAAGGUUAACCAAAAUUAUAAUUGGAAUCUUUAUGUCAAAUCCAGAGGCUGUAUUUUAUUGAAGUACAAUUGCAUGCAGUUUAUAACUAAUAUCCUCUGUUGGGCUCACAUGCUCUGGCACAAGCCUGCUGGCUCUGGAAGAUGUUUCUCU